AGAGUUUGAUCAUGGCUCAGGAUGAACGCUGGCGGCGUGCCUAAUACAUGCAAGUCGAACGAGGAGUUCUUGUAGCAAUACGAGGGCUUCCUAGUGGCGAACGGGUGAGUAACGCGUUGGUGACCUGCCCCAAAGUGUGGGAUAACAGACCGAAAGGUUUGCUAAUACCGCAUGUGGUUUUGAGGAUUAGAGGCCUCAUUUCGAAAGGAGAAAUCCGCUUUGGGAGGGACCUGCGUCCCAUCAGCUAGUUGGUAGGGUAACGGCCUACCAAGGCUUCGACGGGUAGGGGGCCUGAGAGGGUGGCCCCCCACAAUGGAACUGAAACACGGUCCAUACACCUACGGGUGGCAGCAGUAGGGAAUAAUGUGCAAUGGGCGAAAGCCUGACACUGCAACGCCGCGUGUGCGAUGAAGGCCUUCGGGUCGUAAAGCACUUUUCUGGGAGAUGAGAAAGGACAGUAUCCCAGGAAUAAGCCUCGGCUAACUACGUGCCAGCAGCCGCGGUAACACGUAGGAGGCAAGCGUUAUUCGGAUUUACUGGGCGUAAAGCGCGUGCAGGCGGUUCGGUAAGUUGGAUGUGAAAGCUCCUGGCUUAACUGGGAGAGGUCGUCCAAUACUACCGGACUAGAGGACGGUAGAGGAAGGUGGAAUUCCCGGUGUAGUGGUGAAAUGCGUAGAUAUCGGGAGGAACACCAGUGGCGAAGGCGGCCUUCUGGGCCGUUCCUGACGCUCAGACGCGAAAGCUAGGGUAGCAAACGGGAUUAGAGACCCCGGUAGUCCUAGCCGUAAACGAUGCAAACUUGGCGUCGGUGGGUUAAUAUCCAGCGGUGCCGAAGCUAACGCGAUAAGUUUGCCGCCUGGGGACUACGGCGCAAGGUUAAACUCAAAGGAAUUG
rnacentral:rRNA from 1 species